UGUAAACAAAACAGCCAGCAGCCGGUUCACUCAUACACGGGCGCGAACCAGCGAAGCUUCGCGAGUCUUCAUCGUGGCCUGGGGGAGGCAUCAAUUAGUUGGAUUUUGCACUUUGAGCUUCUAAGUAAUCAUAGCCAGUAAAAACACGACAUUCCGAAAGAACGAGCACUCCAAAAAACACCAACGUUCACCAAUUCAUAUUCACUAAGAGAAUGAUGAAAUUUAUUCCGCUCGCCGGUUACACCUCAUGGAACGUUCUUGGACCACCGCAAGAUAAACCAGAGAUGCCGGGAUGUCUGCAUACGCUAGUGUGUGUAGCGGAAUUUUCCCACACUUUUCCUCCUUGUCAGUGUCCCAUAUCAACACUCAUUGAUACAAGUCAUGCAUCUUCCAGCACUUGUAGUUCAAGACCAAGGUAUCGGUUCUCCUUGUGCAAAAGCAUCCACACUCAAAUGUUUGCAUUUUAUUCAUCAAACAUCGAGACACAUUAUAGCCCCGUGUUAAAUCUCUUUGGAAAAUGUGGCUGGUUUUUCUAUCACUGAUCAAGGAACAGAAAAUUUCGGAUUUUCAUUCAACUUAAAUUGGAAAAAAUAUUCUAAUGUCGAUCGGACUGUAUCAAAGGAAGCACUAAAGAUGCGUGUCUUCGCUGCCAGGCGGAAAGCAAGAAGGACACCUUAGGGCGCCAGGACUGUGUCGUCGUUUGGGGUGAAUGCAAUCACUCGUUCCACCACUGCUGCAUGUCGCUGUGGAUCAAACAAAACAAUCGCUGUCC